ACGAACGCUGGCGGCGUGCCUAAUACAUGCAAGUUGAGCGCUGAAGGUUGGUACUUGUACCAACUGGAUGAGCAGCGAACGGGUGAGUAACGCGUGGGGAAUCUGCCUUUGAGCGGGGGACAACAUUUGGAAACGAAUGCUAAUACCGCAUAAAAACUUUAAACACAAGUUUUAAGUUUGAAAGAUGCAAUUGCAUCACUCAAAGAUGAUCCCGCGUUGUAUUAGCUAGUUGGUGAGGUAAAGGCUCACCAAGGCGAUGAUACAUAGCCGACCUGAGAGGGGGAUCGGCCACAUUGGGACUGAGACACGGCCCAAACUCCUACGGGAGGCAGCAGUAGGGAAUCUUCGGCAAUGGACGAAAGUCUGACCGAGCAACGCCGCGGGAGGGAAGAAGGUUUUCGGAUCGUAAAACUCUGUUGGUAGAGAAGAACGUUGGUGAGAGUGGAAAGCUCAUCAAGUGACGGUAACUACCCAGAAAGGGACGGCUAACUACGUG
rnacentral:rRNA from 1 species